rnacentral:tRNA from 2 species
GCCUGGCUGGCUCAGUUGGUGGAGCAUGUGACUCUUGAUCUCAGGGUUGUGGGUUCGAGCCCCAUGUUGGGCA